rnacentral:lncRNA from 1 species
GGUGGGAGAUAACUUUAAUACAUUAAGCAAAUUAAAUCAAAGGACAAAAAUAUAACAGUAGACACAAGACAAUUUUGAAUCAUUAACAAAAUGUGAGGUAGACUAGUGAAAUUCACCAAAUUUUGGUUAAGAACAUUUUACAGUAAUAACACGGGUGCCCCAUUUUCUAAAAAUCACAAAAAGCAAUUGCAUAAAUUACAGCCAAAAAAAAUUAUAACAAUUGUCUUCUAGUUUUUCGUUUACAUUCAGUAUUAACCUGUGUGAACUGUCAUACAUGCUGAGGUUCAGCAGGUCUACAGGUGAGUUACUGUGUGGGCCUAGCGAAUCCAUUCAUCCCACAUCAGUGUCCUAAGGGAUUGCAAAGCUUAAAGCUGAACACACUAGGAUAUAUAUAUAUAUACACACAAAUCAUGGUGUCCUGUGCUUGUGCAAUUUUAUCCUUAAAGAAGGACCUAACAUACUCAAGAAUUAUACUGAUGAUAAGAUGAUUUUAAAAGAUCCAAACAUUAGUAAGAUAGGCUUUGAAAAGAAUAGGCAGAUCAAUUUCUCCAUUAUAGGGGUGAUGGUCUUUUGGCUUUAUUCUGGCAUAUCUCUUCCAGAGUUAAAUAGUAUUUAAGAGCUCAUAAUAAUAAUUUGAAUUUUCAGAGUGCAGCCCUAACUAAUGGAGUACCUGCAUCUGAUGUAACUACUUAAAAAAAAAGUUCUUUAAACUAUGAAGUCAUAAAGCCAGAAGAAACCCUGAGAGGCCAUCCACCCCAGAUGCCCCGACCAGCACCCCCUAGCAAUGUGAGGGGGCACUACCCCAGGAAGAGAACCACUGAUUUUGGCCCAGGCGUAAUUUUACAGGUGAUGGACUUGAGAUAUGGAGAGGUGAGAUGACUUUCCUUUUUCAUACAGACAGUUAAGAAGCAUGACU